rnacentral:rRNA from 1 species
AUGAACGCUGGCGGCGUGCCUAAUACAUGCAAGUCGCGCGAACGGACGAGAAGCUUGCUUCUCUGAUGUUAGCGGCGGACGGGUGAGUAACACGUGGAUAACCUACCUAUAAGACUGGGAUAACUUCGGGAAACCGGAGCUAAUACCGGAUAAUAUUUUGAACCGCAUGGUUCAAAAGUGAAAGACGGUCUUGCUGUCACUUAUAGAUGGAUCCGCGCUGCAUUAGCUAGUUGGUAAGGUAACGGCUUACCAAGGCAACGAUGCAUAGCCGACCUGAGAGGGAGGGAGCCACCAGGAGAGGGGAGCCCGGCCCAAGCGCCCAGGGGGGGGAGGAAGGGGGAAUUCUUCCGAAGAGGGAGAGGGCCGGAGGGCGCACGCCGGGGGGAGGGAGAAGGGUCCUGGUAUGUAAAACCUUUUUUAUGGGGAAAAAAAAUAGGUUAAAUAAGUUGGACACCUCGGCGGGGGCCAAAAUAAAAGGCCCAGGCAAAAAUCUGGC